UACGUAGGGGGCGAGCGUUGUCCGGAUUCAUUGGGCGUAAAGCGCGCGUAGGCGGCUUUGCAAGUCGGCCGUGAAAUCUCCGGGCUCAACUCGGAGGGGUCGGGCGAGACUGCGAGGCUCGAGGUGGGCAGAGGGCAGUGGAAUUCCGGGUAUAGUGGUGGAAUGCGUAGAGAUCCGGAGGAACACCAGUGGCGAAGGCGGCUGCCUGGGCCUGGCCUGACGCUGAGGCGCGAAAGCGUGGGGAGCGAUCCGG
rnacentral:rRNA from 1 species